AGCGAACGCUGGCGGCAGGCCUAACACAUGCAAGUCGAACGAAGCCUUCGGGCUUAGUGGCGGACGGGUGAGUAACACGUGGGAACGUACCUUUUGGUUCGGAAUAACGCAGAGAAAUUUGCGCUAAUACUGGAUGAGCCCUUCGGGGGAAAGAUUUAUCGCCGAAAGAUCGGCCCGCGUUGGAUUAGGUAGUUGGUGUGGUAAAGGCGCACCAAGCCUACGAUCCAUAGCUGGUCUGAGAGGAUGAUCAGCCACACUGGGACUGAGACACGGCCCAGACUCCUACGGGAGGCAGCAGUGGAGAAUCUUGCGCAAUGGGCGAAAGCCUGACGCAGCCAUGCCGCGUGAAUGAUGAAGGUCUUAGGAUUGUAAAAUUCUUUUACCAGGGACGAUAAUGACGGUACCUGGAGAAAAAGCCCCGGCUAACUUCGUGCCAGCAGCCGCAGUAAGAC
rnacentral:rRNA from 1 species